rnacentral:rRNA from 1 species
AUGCAGCUUUUCCGUGCGGCAGCUAGAGUAUCUGUGGGAGAUGGAAGAGCAACUCUAUUCUGGGAAGGUCGGUGGCUAAACGGAAUGCGAAUACAAGAGCUUGCGCCGACCCUUCACAACAUGGUGGCCAAACGCACCCGCUCCUCGCGUACAGUACAACAAGCUCUGGAGGAAGGCAUCUGGGCACGGGACAUAGGCCUAGAACUCACUGAACUGAUGCUACAAGAGUACCUUCAAUUAUGGUCAAGGGUGCAGACAACACAUCUACAGCCGGGAUGUGAUGAUACUAUCAGAUGGUCUCGGGAGCACAAUGGGCAGCAUUCCACACGCUCAGCUUAUGAGGCCAAGUUUUGGGGACGUGAAGGAAUUUCGACAGCAGCAUUCACAUGGAACUCUGGAGCGCCAAUGCGGUGCCGCUUCUUUACAUGGUUGGUGCCUAGGAACCGUUGUUGGACCUCCUACAGAUUAGCCCGACGUGGAUUGGACCACCAAGAGGCAUGCCCUUUUUGCGACCAAGAAGAAGAAUCCAUCCAACACAUUCUGUUGCACUGUGUCUUCGCCAGAGAGGCGUGGAUGGUGCUCUGA